CUGGCAUCGAUGAAGAACGCAGCGAAAUGCGAUAAGUAAUGUGAAUUGCAGAAUUCAGUGAAUCAUCGAAUCUUUGAACGCACAUUGCGCCCGCUAGUACUCUAGCGGGCAUGCCUGUUCGAGCGUCAUUUCAACCCUCAAGCCCUGCUUGGUGUUGGGGCCCUACGGCUGCCGUAGGCCCUGAAAGGAAGUGGCGGGCUCGCUGCAACUCCGAGCGUAGUAAUUCAUUAUCUCGCUAGGGAGGCUUGCGGCGCGCUCCGGCCGUUAAAGACCAUCUUUAACUCAAGGUUGACCUCGGAUCAGGUAGGAAUACCCGCUGAACUUAAGCAUAUCAAUAAGCGGAGGAAAAGAAACCAACAGGGAUUGCCCUAGUAACGGCGAGUGAAGCGGCAACAGCUCAAAUUUGAAAUCUGGCUUCGGCCCGAGUUGUAAUUUGUAGAGGAUGCUUUUGGUGAGGUGCCUUCUGAGUUCCCUGGAACGGGACGCCAGAGAGGGUGAGAGCCCCGUAUAGUCGGCCACCGAUCCUCUGUAAAGCUCCUUCGACGAGUCGAGUAGUUUGGGAAUGCUGCUCAAAAUGGGAGGUAUAUCUCUUCUAAAGCUAAAUAUUGGCCAGAGACCGAUAGCGCACAAGUAGAGUGAUCGAAAGAUGAAAAGCACUUUGAAAAGAGGGUUAAAUAGCACGUGAAAUUGUUGAAAGGGAAGCGCUUGUGACCAGACUUGUGCCGGGCUGAUCAUCCAGUGUUCUCACUGGUGCACUCGACCCGGCUCAGGCCAGCGUCGGUUCUCCGCAGGGGGAUAAAAGCGGCGGGAACGUGGCACCUCCGGGUGUGUUAUAGCCCGCCGCUCAAUACCCUUGCGGGGACCGA
rnacentral:rRNA from 1 species